CACGUAGGGGGCGAGCGUUGUCCGGAUUUAUUGGGCGUAAAGAGCUCGUAGGCGGUUCAGUAAGUCGGGUGUGAAACCCCCAGGCUCAACCCGGGGACGCCACCUGAUACUGCUGUGACUUGAGUCCGGUAGGGGAGCGUGGAAUUCCUGGUGUAGCGGUGAAAUGCGCAGAUAUCAGGAGGAACACCAGCGGCGAAGGCGGCGCUCUGGACCGGUACUGACGCUGAGGAGCGAAAGCGUGGGGAGCGAACAGG
rnacentral:rRNA from 1 species